UACGGAGGAGGCAAGCGUUAUCCGGAAUUAUUGGGCGUAAAGCGUCCGUAGGUGGCUAGUCAAGUCUGCGGUCAAAGACUGGGGCUUAACCCUGGAAAGGCCGUGGAAACUGACGAGCUAGAGUGCAGUAGGGGUAGAGGGAAUUCCCGGUGUAGCGGUGAAAUGCGUAGAUAUCGAGAGGAACACCUGCGGCGAAGGCGGGUUGCUGGGCUGACACUGACGCUGAGGCGCGAAAGCUAGGGGAGCGAACGGG
rnacentral:rRNA from 1 species